rnacentral:rRNA from 1 species
UACGUAGGGUGCAAGCGUUAUCCGGAAUUAUUGGGCGUAAAGAGCUCGUAGGCGGUUUGUCGCGUCUGCUGUGAAAACUGGGGGCUCAACCCCCAGCCUGCAGUGGGUACGGGCAGACUAGAGUGCGGUAGGGGAGAUUGGAAUUCCUGGUGUAGCGGUGGAAUGCGCAGAUAUCAGGAGGAACACCAGUGGCGAAGGCGGUGCUCUGGGCCGGAACUGACGCUGAGGAGCGAAAGCGUGGGGAGCAAACAGG